ensembl:lncRNA
AAGAACAACAUCAAAGCUUUGGUGGAGGAAGAGGCAGGAGGAGAAAGCAGCGGUGUACCGCCUCUAUCCCCUUCACUUCCUCCGAGGCCUUGCAUGAGUCCUUGAUUCCUGGAGCACGGGGCCUGUGUUGGGGAGGAGUGAGACCCUGGGAGAUAAGAGGUUUUGAAAGCCCAGGGAACGAGUUGUUCCAGGCCUCUCUCCCUCCCUCUCUCUACCCCUACCACCGCUGCUGCUGCUGCUGCUGACGUCCGAAGGGGCAGAUAGCAAAUCUGAUGUCUCAGGAGGAAGGUCUGUAUCCAGGGUAAUGGGAACUGAUUCCAGCCAAUCGCACUGUGAUUUAAGAUGGCACCACCGUGUUUGUGGCAUUUCUGUAGCUGUUUGGGUGAGUGUGUGAGUGUGUGUGGGAGAGAGAGAGAGAGUGUGUGUCACUGCAUGUCUACCUCUGAAGGGUUAUGUGUGUGUGUGUGUGUGUGUGUGUGUGUGUGUGUGUGUGUGUGUGUGAGAGAGAGAGAGAGAGAGAGACAAAGAGAGUGUAUGUGUGAGCAUGAAUCUAUUUAUGUGUGUGUGUGCUUUUGUUUGAGUAUGAAACAUACAACAUAUGGGUGAGGAUGAAAUCACAUAGGUUUUCAAUGGAUAUUCAGAUAUGGCAAUGCACAUUUGAAUGUGUGCGCACGCGUUGUUGACUGUGUUUGUGCAUAUACAAGGGUGAAAACUAAUUUCAAAAAUCCCUUCAAGUUCAUGUAUGAGAGUUUGAUCCUGUAUGUGUUUGUAUGCAUUUGUGUGCAUAGGUCUAAAACAUAGGUCUAAAACUGCCUGGAUCUGCAUCUGGAUGAUGUAAUGUAUAUAAUGGAUAUGUCAAGUCAUUUGUACGUUGCCACUGUCAGUGCUGUCUGUGUUGAUAUGUGUACAUCCAUGCUAAUAUGCCUGUAAGUGCCGUUAAGGUCUGUGUGCUUGACUGUGUGUCUUUGUCAGAGUACAUGUGUGUGUGUGUGUGUGUGUGUGCUUGACUCUGUGUGUCUUUGUGAGAGUACAUUUGUGUGUGUGUGUGUGUGUGUGUGUGUGUGUGUGUGUGUGUGUGUGUCUUUGUGAGAGUACAUGUGUGUAGGCCCCAUAGUCUGUGGCUUUAUCAGAGUGUUUGCAGUCUCUCUGUGUUGGCAUACAUGCUCAUUUGUGUGUCAAAAUAAGUCUGCCUGUGUGUGUGUGUGUGUGUGUGUGUGUGUGGGGGGGGGGGGGGGUCUAAGUUUGUGUGUGUGUGUGUAUGUUCAGCACGGCGUUGCUGUGCUCUGUGCAGGUGUGUGUGGGUGUGUAUGUGUGUGUGCGUGUGUGUGUGUGUGUUCAGCACGGCAUUGCUGUGCUCUGUGCAGGUGAAUGUGGGUGUGUGUGUCUGUCUCUGUGUGUGUGUGUGUGUGUGUGUGUGUGUGUGUGUGUGUGUGUGUGUGUGUGUGUGUGUGUGUGUGUGUGUGUGCUGUGCUCUGUGCAGGUGCGAGUGAUGGCCCUCAGCCUGAGGAGGCGGGCUGGGAGCUCGGAAGGAGUGAGAGAAAAACAGCUACUCUGUCUUCCCUAAAACAUCUUCAAGGUCUCUGGCGAGGGAUAAAUUCCCAAGGGGAGACAGUUCACCAGUAAGAGAUCUGCUUGCGCUCGACCGGUCUGUCUCCGGUGUGUUUAGACGGCAGGACGCUCAUUUCCUUGCUCUCACUCGCUGUUCCUUUUUCCUAUGCAUAUACCUCUUUGAGAUGUCGCUUUAAAGAGGCAUAGGGCAUGGGAAAAGGGGGCUGUUGAGGUAUUCCACUGGAAUCCAACCAACCAACAGACGAAGGCCACCGCUUUGUGUCUCUGCCUGAAUGGAGCCAUUGCUUCACCAUUGUCUCCUGCUGCUUUACCGUCUUCAACCACAAUGGAUGUGUUUGUAGGUGUGGAUGAGCGUGGGAUAAGUGAGCGAGAGAGCGCUCAGAGGUCCUGAUGAGUUGUCUUCUACAUUCAGAACAUUGCAUCUUUACCUGUUGUCUUCAGAGACGGGAGGAGGGAUGGGACAAAAAGGAGACAAUGAUAAGUGAACUGGGCUCUGUAAAGUGCCUUGAGACUAUUUUCUUGUUCUGGCACUAUAUAAAUAAAAUGGAAUUGAAUUGUGUUGAAUUGAACAACAUGUUUUCCUGCUGGUUUUAAUUAAAAAAAACUAUUUAAAGAAA